UAUUGCACAAUGGACGAAAGCCUGAUGCAGCAACGCCGCGUGAGGGAUGACGGCCUUCGGUUUGUAAACCUCUUUUAGUAGGGAAGAANCGUAAGUGACGGUACCUGCAGAAAAAGCACCGGCUAACUACGUGCCAGCAGCCGAGGUAAUACGUAGGGUGCAAGCGGUGUCCGGAAUUAUUGGGCGUAAAGAGCUCGUAGGCGGUUUGUCGGGUCUGCUGUGAAAUCCCGAGGCUCAACCUCGGGCUUGCAGUGGGUACGGGCAGACUAGAGUGCGGUAGGGGAGAUUGGAAUUCCUGGUGUAGCGGUGGAAUGCGCAGAUAUCAGGAGGAACACCGAUGGCGAAGGCAGAUCUCUGGGCCGUAACUGACGCUGAGGAGCGAAAGCGAGGGGAGCGAACAG
rnacentral:rRNA from 1 species